UGUUUCCCGACACGCUUGAAACACCGUCGCUUGGCCGCCAGGGGUCGCUGAUUCCCCCGGCUCCCUCCUCCAGUUUGCCCGCCUGACUGACUGACUGCCUGCCCGACAAGAAAUGUUGGCAAAACACCCCCUCCUCAUCGUGUAGAGAGAAAAAAUGGCGGACAAGCGCUAAAUCCACACCAGAAACAAACACACACGUUACAAAGCAAGGCAGACAUCCUCGGAUACGACCGAGCAGCGCCUCCCUUCAGGCUCGGCUCCAGCGUUGAACCCAGAUUAGCACUGGCUAGCCCCAGUGCGCUGGUCGGCGACAGGAGGUGAGGUGUGGGCUGCCCGCGGGUCCUGCGGUCCGGGGUCCGUGCUGUCGCUCUCCCCGCACUGGGAAAAAAACACGGAGCGGGUCGCUUUAACGUGGACGCCAUCCCCCUCGGCGGAGGAAAAAAAAAAAAAAGGCGCACUUCUAUUGAAAAGCAGGGGAGAGACGCAGCUGAACGGUUAUGAAGGCGUAAGAGUGGGAGCCAGUGUUGCAUCGUGA
rnacentral:lncRNA from 1 species